GAUGAACGCUGGCGGCGUGCUUAACACAUGCAAGUCGAACGAUGAAGCCCAGCUUGCUGGGUGGAUUAGUGGCGAACGGGUGAGUAACACGUGAGUAACCUGCCCUUAACUCUGGGAUAAGCCUGGGAAACUGGGUCUAAUACCGGAUAGGAGCGUCCACCGCAUGGUGGGUGUUGGAAAGAUUUAUCGGUUUUGGAUGGACUCGCGGCCUAUCAGCUUGUUGGUGAGGUAAUGGCUCACCAAGGCGACGAUGGGUAGCCGGCCUGAGAGGGUGACCGGCCACACUGGGACUGAGACACGGCCCAGACUCCUACGGGAGGCAGCAGUGGGGAAUAUUGCACAAUGGGUGCAAGCCUGAUGCAGCGACGCCGCGUGAGGGAUGACGGCCUUCGGGUUGUAAACCUCGUUCAGUAGGGAAGAAGCGAAAGUGACGGUACCUGCAGAAGAAGCACCGGCUAACUACGUG
rnacentral:rRNA from 1 species